GACGAACGCUGGCGGCGUGCCUAAUACAUGCAAGUAGAACGCUGAAGGAGGAGCUUGCUCUUCUGGAUGAGUUGCGAACGGGUGAGUAACGCGUAGGUAACCUGCCUGGUAGCGGGGGAUAACUAUUGGAAACGAUAGCUAAUACCGCAUAAGAGUAGAUGUUGCAUGACAUUUACUUAAUAGGUGCAAUUGCAUCACUACCAGAUGGAGCUGCGGUGUAUUAGCUAGUUGGUGGGGUAACGGCUUACCAAGGCGACGAUACAUAGCCGACCUGAGAGGGGGAUCGGCCACACUGGGACUGAGACACGGCACAGAGUCCUACGGGAGGCAGCAGUAGGGAAUCGGGGGCAAUGGACGGAAGUCUGACCGAGCAACGCCGCGUGAGUGAAGAAGGUUGUCGGAUCGUAAAGCUCUGUUGUAAGAGAAGAACGAGUGUGAGAGUGGAAAGUUCACACUGUGACGGUAUCUGACCAGAAAGGGACGGCUAACUACGUG
rnacentral:rRNA from 1 species